UUUUUGUUCCAGACACCAAGAACCUGGACAUCCUCCGCCGUUAACGCUGGGCCCAUGAGACCAUGUGGAACUCGCUAGGGAGGCCCCUGAGUGCACGUUCGCUGGGCCAGACCUGGGAGGUUGGGGAUCCCAGAAUAGUCAUGCUGGGGCUACUUUCUGUCCCUGACUUUCACCCAGGUCUCCCUUCCCCAGAGGGCUCCCCAGCCCCCAACACACAUAUAUGCUCUAGUGUUUUCCCUUCCUAACUGCAUUUCCCCCUGGGCUCCCACCUCUCCAAGAACGGGCAGCAUUAUCAGAACAGCUGGUGUGAGCACAGCCCUGUUCCAAGAGAUCCCAGGCAUCCUCUCACCCCACCCUGGCAGAUCCCUCUCACUAGGCACCACUGUCACCUGCAUUUUACACACGGGGCCAUCGAGGCUGAGAGCGGAAAUGACUAGCCCAAGUCCCACAGCUAGUGGUGGCGGAGCAGGGCUCUGAGGCCAGCCCUUCCUGUGAU
rnacentral:lncRNA from 10 species